ensembl:lncRNA
UAAUAAAGGUGUUUUUCCUUUCUGUGUAAUAUUUAUUUCAUUUUUAAUGCGACAACACUUCCAAAUGCAUAUCGAAUUCAAAAUGCUUUUCACUCUGUUGCUUGGAUCAGAAAAAGGACAAUGUUUUUUAUAGAAAAGAUUUUACAGAAUCUAUUCUACUCUAACCUUCAAAACAAUGACGAUCAAUGUUCAGUGGACAAAAGAAAGCAAUUUCACGGUCUAUACAUCUGUAAACCUGAAAAAAUAUAUAUACCAUAGAGGAAAUGAUAAAAAGUUUAAAACGUUCAAUACUAACAAUAUUUUAAUCUAAUAGGUAGUAUACUUUCCAAUAGCCAACCUUCAUGGAAGGUAAUAAAGUUGUUUUUAUUUGAUUACAAUAUGAUAACAUGCAGACAAGCAUUAACAAACAACAAUAUUAACAAUGCAAAUUAUUAAGCCCAACCCUACACAUUGAAAUAAUGAUGCAUUAUGUGUCAUAUAUGUACUAUAUUGGUUUUACUGAGCACAUGCAAGCCAAAAACAUGCUUUCAUCAAUUAAAAUUAACAACAAAGGCCAAAUAAAAAAUUACCUGCUUAAUCUUAAACAAAGGUUUUUAAAUGAAACAAAGAAAAAAAAUGAUAAGACUUGGAUUAUUUUAAUUUAAAGUAAAAAUGUUUGGUUUUUAUACACACAUGAACAAGUAUAAUGUAGGACAUGACUACAGACAUAGGAACAUGUCACUUCUAACAAGGUAUUUUUCCUUCAAUGCUAUGAUUAGUUUGGUGAAUUCAUCUGAUUUAAAUAAAUAACAAUAUAAAGUGGACAUACUAGAGCUUGAAAACAGACCACACCAAUUGUUUUGUGUGUGUGUGUGUGUGUGUGUGUGUGUGUGUGUGUGUGUGUGUGUGUGUGUGUGUGUGUGUGUGUGUGUGUGUGUGUGUGUGUGUGUGUGUGUGAAUUGUGAAAUCAUAACGAGCUGUCUCUGGAACUUAACCCUUAGAUGCAGACUCUGAUUCUGGGAGGCAUUUUUUUACUUUGCCAAUCAUCUUGUUACAAAACAUUGUUCACAACCAUUUCCAUUUGUACAACUCUUUCCUUAGAGAAAGCACAGCUUUUCCAAAAAUACAAUAUAGAAUAUAUCAACAGCAAUUAAAACAACAGAUCAAAUGAUUUUAAGAAAAUGAAAACAGGAUAACAAUGCCUUCCCAGACUAAUGCCACCGAAAAAAAGUGUUAAGUACUCCAGAUCCGCAUUAAAGGGUUUAAGCACACAUCUGCAUAUUUGAUCUAUUUACGCCAAAUGUCACGAGAACACAAAACAAACAACAAACAUAUGACAUUGGUCUAUCUAUCGGUCAAAUUAAACAGGAAAAUCCCUCGGUUUGCAUGAAUACACUCACAUUCAGAGGAAAAGUGGGGUACAGUACUCAACAUGGAACCCUUUUACAUUAGCAGAAAAUGAAAUGAAAAAGAGAUCAGAGUCACAUCGAAGCAUAUAUUGUGAGGUGCAUUGAGGAUAACUGAUGUGUGAAUCAAAAUGAAUUCACACGUGAAGGAAGAGAGCAGUAAAACUGUAUGAGCAGGGAAACAAACACACUUCGGAUAAAAGUUCAGCUAGUUUGUCUGACAAAAUCCCCAAAGUAUUUACAAGAUCAGGGCAGUUAGGUGUUGGUGUUCUGUUAUACUGUCUUGCAUUGUAGAUUACAUUCAUAUAUCUAGCAAAAUAUCUUUCACUACACCCUCCAGUCUUCAAGGGCUCUACACUUUCACACUAAACUGUGGGAAUAGUACUUUUACUUUGUAAAAGUAAGAUAACAUGUAUUGUCCAUUCAUCACACAGCUCUGGUAGUUCUACAGGUGUAGUUCAAUAGGUGUAGGUUUUGUGAGCAUCCUAGGGUGUAGGGGUGGGAAAAGCUGGCUUUUGGCCCCACCUGGUGGCUAAACAACCCAUUACAAGGUGUGGCAUCUCUCCACAGAGACUUAAUUGACUGCAGCUGCACAUCUUGUACAGCUGGCUGCAAUUAGGGCGGCAGAACAUGGGGAGGACACACCAAGGUUUUAUCGCAAAUAUUGGACCAGUUUGCACCCAAUGCCGAAGGUUUGAAGUUCUCUCUGCCCUGGGGUAAAAGAUUAUCUUCCCCAGUGACUUACGUUUAUGUUCAGUUGCUGACAUAAGGGCCAGUUGUUGAUUUUGAUUAUUGGCCUCAUUUCUUUGUGAGAACAUUCUUUUGGGACAUGAAGAUUCCCCAAGCUACCUGUGAACCCUUUAUUUAUUUAAUAAAUCCUCUUUGAGUGCUGAAUUGCCUUGUCUGUCUCUUGGUUUUGCAUUACCACACAUGUGACACACUCCUCCAUCUACGGAGUUGUUACACUGGUGGAGAAUGUGAGUGUCCCCGUGUGGUAGUGAAACCUGAGACAACCAUUAGACAAGUUAUGGUGCCCUGUAGGCUGUGAGGACAGGGUUUUUUAAGUCGGUUUUUACAAGAGAAAAUGCUGCUGGCAGAAGAAUGGAUGUCAAGUCCCUCAACCUUGAGGUGGUUGGCGACGGAGGGGACUAAGCACCACACAUAAGGGAGCACUGAAGAGCUCUGAAGGUAGUCUUGAGUUUCUCACAGGCCAUAAAUAACUCUCGGCUCCCGGGUGGCGCAGCGUUCUAAGGCACUGCAUCUCAAUGCAAGAGGCAUCACUAGAGGCCCUGGUUUGAUUCCAAGCUGUAUCACAUCCACCCGUGAUUGUGAGUCCCAAAGGGCGGUACACAAUUGGCCCAGCAUCGUCUGGGUUUGGCCGGGGUAGGCAGUCAUUGUAAAUAAGAAUUUGUUCUUAACUGACUUGCCUAGUUUAAUAAAGGGGCUCCUUGUGGAUCCAGAAAUCACUGCAGCUAUCAGUGACAUGAAAAAUGUUGCUAGAAGACUGAACAGUGCUUAGCCAGACGUAAGUACCGCCACCUGUGUCUGUAACAAAGAAGUGCCAGCUGAUACUUCAAGGGGGAAGGCAAAGGAAGAAGUGAGCAGUGCGCAGACACCCAGGGGCACGAGGGCCUCCCUACUAGAUGCUGACCAGGCCAAGGAAGCCUUCAAGAGGCAGUUUGAAGAAGAGAAGACCAGCAAAGAGGCCCUGAAGGAGCGUCUGGGGUGCCUGUGCGCCGUCCUACAAGAAGAGCGUCAUGGCCUCAAACGGCUCCAUGAGAAGUCAAGGCAGCUGGCCACCUUGCAAGAGGAGACUUUCAGCAACAGGAAGAGGGUAACCUGGCUGAAAAGUCAACUGAAAGAGAAUCAAGUAUGGUCCUCAGCCUGCAGGAGAAGUGCAGGGACCAAGGGGAAGAGGUGAGAAGGUAAAGACUAAGUUCCAGGAUGUUGUAGUAACUUUGGAAGAAGAGGUCACUGUUCUGAAUCGAGAACAUUUGUCUUAAAGAGGUAGUUCACGCUGCCAAUGAGCAAUCUGAAAAGCUCAUGAAAAGUAAUGCUCGGCUCAGAGGAAAAGCUCAGGUGAGAAGAAUUAGAGGCAGGAAAGCUGCAGCUGAAGAGGGUCCUGGAGGUCUCUGAGGUAGCUCACGAGUGUGCAGAAAAUGAGCAUAGGGAGCAGGUAGCCAGCACCCAGAAUUUAGAGAUCUGCCGGCAGAGGGCAGAGCUACAAGGGGAAGCCCAGGCUGGGAUGUUGGCCCUGUUGGAAGAAAAGCUGCACCCCAGUUCAAAACGAACAGGGGUUUCCACAAAGGUGCUGGAUAAGCAGUAAGAGCAAGCAGACCGAGCAGGAACUGCCCAGGUAAUUGAGAAGCAAUGAAGAGGAACAAUGUGCAGGCCUGUCUGGAGGAGGAGCAGGCAGCAAGAAGGCUUGAGCAGGAGGCAGUGAAGAGCCUCAUAAGUGAAUUGAAAAGGAAUGAAGAGAUGGCAAAGAAGUCAGCGAUGGAAGCCAAGCAGAGAGUGGUGGAAUUGAUGGAGGAGAAGAUGUCCCUGGCAAGUGAAGCCUCUGAAUUGCAAUCAUAAGUGGAAAACGCAAUGAGGUUCAGUAAAUGCAGGAUGUUGUUGACAGGCUGGAGACAUCUAAUAUGGCCUCGAGGGCCAAGUGGGAGCAGAUCUUCUUGUUGCUCAAAAAGGAGCAGGAGAGGCUAAGUAGCCUUGAGGUGCAACUGCGUGAAAAGCAUCAACACAGCCAUCAGGAAAGUCCUGGACUAGGGGGGAGACGGAGCACUGAUGGGAUCAAAUCCCACUCUCCAUUUCAGGGGACAUGUUUGCUCCUUCGUGUGAGUUGUUUACCCACACCACUGAACAGCCCCUUGACCGAAGAGAAAACAGCCUGUAUGUCCAGAACCCAUGGCCAGAGAAGAUUAAAGGAACCCCGAAAAAGAAAACCUGGACCAGAGCAUGGUUACACAGAGGGUUCCCAGGACAACCACACCAACAAGAAUGUCAGUCCAAAUACAUUGCACUGAUGACUCUCCCACUUUGUUUUCCCCAGAAGAGGUUUCAAGGUCCCCUGAUGGUGAAGUGGUGACAGGGAGAUGGCGGUCCAAAGGAUUCAGCAGAGACCAGGGAAGUUCCAGUGCUCCAAAGUCAAAAACUGGUGGGGAGACUGGGGUGAGCCCGUAGAAGGGCACUACCAGCCAAGAGGGAAGCAGCCCAAUACUCUGGUGAGUGAAGUUUCGUCAUGAGUUAAGAGGUCUGAAGGAAGGUUGAAUUGUGAUUCAGAAGUGAAGAGGUUUAAAGUCUGAAGUGUCUAACCAUGGUUGACGUGAGUCUUCUUUCCAAAACCCAGAAGACAGAACUGCCAGCAGGUGGAUCACUUGCACAGAAGGCAGUGAGACAAAGAACCCAACAGGGCGGUUGAGGCAACUGGCUCACCCUCAGGUCAAACCUCUGACACGACGCAGAGGAAAAAGUCACAGCCAGAGAAGAAGAAUAGUUGGUUUGUCAGGCCUUUAAAGACAGGAAGAGGCCAAGGAGGCAGUGGAACUCUGCCAGUCAUCCACCCAGUCAAACGUGAAUGGAAGAGCUACAAAACAUGAGUAAGCCUGACAAACCAACUAUGUUACUGAGCCUCCCCAGGAGUGGUGGAGUGUUGGAGAGUGGGCCUGGGAGUCAGAGGGCAAGUUCAUUAAGAUGGAUGAUGGUUAUAUGGUAACCCAAGACUUUGCCAAGCUCUUGGUUACCAGGGGGCCUCAGGGAGAGUCUUCCAACUCCACAGAAACUGGUCAACUACCAUCAGGUACACCACCAGGGGACAGCGAGCCCCACCUUUACCAUGAGGUAAAGGUCCAAGACGGCACUGUGGUGGUGAGUAUGACCAAUGAAAAGGGAUGUUCAGAAAUGGAGAAACCUCAAACUCCUGGCAUGGACCUUCAAAUGUCCUUUGACCAAAGCUGAGGCAGGUGGCAUGCUGUCGGGGUGCUCUAUUUUGAAAAUGUUGAAGAAGCAUGGUUUUCCAAGAAUGGCUGGAGGUGACCAAAAGAAAUGCCCUGUGAAAGAAAAGGGGCUUGAGGUAAAACUGAGGUAAAACAAACAUUUCUGAACAUUUCUGUGAUAAUAACCCAAGACUUUGCAGAAACCCUGAGGCCCAAGUGGAAAAAGGCGAGCCGAUGUCAUUCAAAGGAGAACGGGAAAGCUGUUGAGGAGGCACAGACGCAUGGAGGUGAGAGCCUUCCCCCUCUCAAUAACCAGUUAUUGCCCCAGAAGGUGGCCGAGAACCAGACCCAUGAAGAGGGUGAACCAUGGAGAUGACAAACAUCAACCUUUGUUGUAUGACCCCUAGAGGUCCUGGGGUGUACCUCCAUGGCCUUGGAUUAGAUGCCUGGUCAAGAGUUGACUCUAUCGGGGCAUUGGCCUGUACAAACCACAAGUUGAAGCAGGGAUGUGUGAGCAUCCGAGGGGUGUAAGGGUGGGAAAGGCCGGCUUUUGGCCCCACUUGGUGGGUAAACAACUCAUUACAAGGUGUGGCAUCUCUCCACAGAGACUUAAUUGACUGCAGCUGCACAUCUUGAACAGCUGGCUGCAAUUAGGGUGGCAGAACAUGGGGAGGCAGUGGCAUUCAGAGAGGGAGAGAGAGAGCAGUGAGGAGGACACGCCUAACCAUUGGACCAGUCAGUGACGAUGGUUUGAAGCUCUCUCUGCCCUGGGAGAAAAUAAAUCACUGGGGAAGAAUACGAUUACAUUCAGUUAUUGCCAUAAAGGGCCAGCUGUUGAUUUUGAUUAUUGGCCUUGUUUUUUUUACCAGUUAAUAAAUCCUCUUUGAGUGCUGAAUUGCCUUGUCUGUCUCUUGGUUUUGCACUACCACACAUGACACACUCCUCCACCUACGGAGUUUUAACAGUUUAAAUGUGUUCAUACAGGUAAGCUCUGGUAGUUCUACAGGUGUACAGCAGGCUUGGUCCAAGUGGCCACCGCUGGCUCCGUCAAGUCAUCAUGCUGCUCAAAAC